rnacentral:rRNA from 1 species
GACGAACGCUGGCGGCGUGCUUAACACAUGCAAGUCGAACGGAAAGGCCUCUUUCGGGGGGUACUCGAGUGGCCAACGGGUGAGUAACACGUGAGUAACCUGCCCUUGACUUUGGGAUAACUUCAGGCAACUGGGGCUAAUACCGGAUAGGAGCUCCUGCUGCCUGGUGGGGGUUGGAAAGUUUCGGCGGUUGGGGAUGGACUCGCGGCGUAUCCGCUUGUUGGUGGGGUAGUGGCUUACCAAGGCUUUGACGGGUAGCCGGCCUGAGAAGGUGACCGGCCACAUUGGGACUGAGAUACGGCCCAGACUCCUACGGGAGGCAGAAGGGGGGAAUAUUGCACAAUGAGUGGAGGCCUGAUGCAGCAGCGCCGUGUGCGGGAUGACGGCCUUCGGGUUGAAGACCGCUUUCGCUCAUGACGAAGCUUUGUGUGACGGUAGUGAGUAAAGAAGCACCGGCUAACUACGUG